GAUGAACGCUGGCGGCGUGCCUAAUACAUGCAAGUCGAGCGAACAGACGAGGAGCUUGCUCCUUUGACGUUAGCGGCGGACGGGUGAGUAACACGUGGAUAACCUACCUAUAAGACUGGGAUAACUUCGGGAAACCGGAGCUAAUACCGGAUAAUAUAUUGAACCGCAUGGUUCAAUAGUGAAAGACGGUUUUGCUGUCACUUAUAGAUGGAUCCGCGCCGCAUUAGCUAGUUGGUAAGGUAACGGCUUACCAAGGCAACGAUGCGUAGCCGACCUGAGAGGGUGAUCGCCCACACUAGAACUGAGACACGGUCCAGACUCCUACGGGAGGCAGCAGUAGGGAAUCUUCCGCAAUGGGCGAAAGCCUGACGGAGCAACGCCGCGUGAGUGAUGAAGGUCUUCGGAUCGUAAAACUCUGUUAUUAGGGAAGAACAAAUGUGUAAGUAACUAUGCACGUCUUGACGGUACCUAAUCAGAAAGCCACGGCUAACUACGUG
rnacentral:rRNA from 1 species